AACGCCCAGGAGCGAUCCACGUGAUCGAUUGGCCUUGUGUCUUCGAUUUUGAUUGGGUCUUUGUACUGAAUGGGCCCACCGGUGAGGCGCUGAAAUCAGGUGGGCAUGUGUGAACCGUGGGAAAAAACUCUCUUUCUGCAGAAAAUCUUCUCCCCUGACCUGAGCCUCCGCCGUCGCUCCUCCUCCCCAGCUCUCUAAUCUCACCGCAUCCCUCUUCUCCCUGCCCCGAGCCAUCGCUGCAACCCCUCCUCCUUCCUAGGUUUCUCCUUGACACCUCAUGACUCCCCGCCACCUCUUUCUAAGCGGCGAUGACCAGUGGGAUUGGAGGCGGCAGCUCGCGCGGUGGGGAAAGAGGACCGUGCUGGGAAGAAAUCUCGCGGCGGCCGACGGCCAGCUCAUAUGGUGGGGACGGAGGUCGCCGGAGAGGAGGUGAUUUGGGGGUGGCAUGUCGCCCUUCGAGCUGUGAUCUGCCGUGGCUCCAUUCGCAUCUCCGGAGACGCCUAUUCUCAUAAAUUGGUCUGCGUGACAUGUUUACUUCCACAUGAUCCGCGGGUAGCCACAUGUUCAUAUUACGGAUAUUUCUCUCAUCUGGUUUCAUUCUUGUGGAGGUAGUGUUGCUAAUUAAGCAAGUACGCCAUACAAUGCCGCUUGGUGCAGUAAUUCAUGUGAGCCCCUGCGAAGCAUGUGAUAUAUCCUCUCUGGCUGAUUCAAUUUUAGGACACGUUUUAUUAUCAAUGAUUUUUGUUGGGUUUACAUA